AUCUGUGGGUGGGUGCGGGUUUAAAGGUACAUUUGCGAUACCUGUGCAAGAACCAAGAACCAAAGGGCGGCAUCAUGAAGCUCUGCGGCCUGACUCUGUUUCCAUGGUGACCGAGGCCGUCCGAGCCGGAAAUGACGCACCUCGGCGGAACUUAGAACCUCGGGGCAGUCACUCGUUGCCCGGCAACCGACGCUCGGCUGCAGGAGCCUGGUCCCGGGAAUGGUCGAGUGUUACCGGGAUGGGGAACCUGUAAGGAAAGGACGUUAAAUAAGUAAAACAAGCUCGACAUCGCGGGGAGGGGAGGAGGAGAGGAGGGAAUGGCUUUGGAGACGGUGAGGGUGGUGGUACGCUGUAGACCGAGCAACAACCGGGAGAAGGACCUGAACUGCAAGGUGGUGGUCUCCAUGGACAGUACCCGCGGCCAGUGCUUCAUCCAGAAGCCCGGGGCCCUCGGAGAGCCGCCAAAACAGUUCACUUUCGACGGCGUCUAUUACAUAGAGAGUACCACCGAGCAGCUGUACAACGAGAUCGCCUAUCCGCUGGUGGAGGGUGUCACUGAAGGCUACAAUGGAACAAUAUUUGCCUAUGGCCAGACAGGAAGUGGAAAAUCAUUCACUAUGCAAGGCAUUCCUUCUCCAACAUCGCAACGAGGAGUUAUUCCCAGAGCUUUUGAACAUAUAUUUGAGAGUAUCCAGUGUACCGAAAAUACUAAGUUCCUCGUGAGGGCUUCAUAUUUGGAGAUUUACAAUGAAGAGAUCCGUGACCUUCUGGGUAAAGAUACCAAACACAAACUGGAGCUCAAGGAGCAUCCAGAGAAAGGCAUUUAUGUGAAGGACCUCUCCAUGCAUACUGUGCACAGUGUCACAGAGUGUGAAAAAAUCAUGGACAUUGGCUGGGGUAAUCGAGCUGUGGGAUAUACCCUCAUGAACAAAGAUUCAUCUCGUUCACAUUCUAUAUUCACCAUUCACUUGGAGAUGUGCUCGAUUGAUGACAAUGGGAAAGACCACAUCCGUGUAGGAAAGUUGAAUCUGGUCGAUUUGGCAGGCAGCGAAAGACAGGCAAAAACUGGAGCAACUGGAGAUCGGCUAAAAGAAGCUACUAAAAUCAAUCUGUCACUUUCAGCGCUUGGGAACGUUAUUUCUGCAUUGGUGGAUGGCAGAUCAAAGCAUAUUCCAUACCGUGACUCCAAACUGACACGGAUGUUGCAGGACUCCCUUGGGGGUAACACCAAAACUCUGAUGGUAGCAUGUCUGUCGCCAGCUGACAAUAAUUAUGAUGAAAGUCUUAGCACUUUACGGUAUGCCAAUAGGGCAAAGAACAUCAAAAACAAGCCCAGAAUUAAUGAAGAUCCAAAGGAUGCUUUACUCAGAGAGUAUCAGGAGGAGAUUAAACAAUUGAAGGCACUCCUAGCUGGACAGCUUGAUUAUCUAAGUAAUGUCCAAAUGACUAAUACCCAAGCAACCAGUCAAUCUCCUGAAGUCCAUGCUGAGAUAGAAAUUGAAAAAGAAAAUAUCAGACAGGAAUAUGAGCAGAAGUUAUUAAAGAUCAAAGCAGAUUAUGAAGCAGAGCAGAAGUCCAAUGUGAAACUACAAGAAGACAUUGAAAAACUAAGAAGUUCUUUUGAACUGAAGAUGGCACAUGUUGAAGCCAUUGAUAAGGCCACUGAUGCACCUCCAUUUGAAGAAAGCACUUGUGCUGUGGAGAUAACUCAGCCAUUUAGUGUUGAAUUAGCGGAUGUGAGUGAAGUAGCACAGAAGCUAGAUGUUGCUAUGUUGAUAGAACCAGAGCCUGAAAUAGCUCAACAAGACACAAGCAACAGGAACGAUACGGAGCCUAAUGAAGAGCAGCAUUCUCUUGAAGUGCCUCUAGUAAAGGGAGAAAUUGCAGAGGAAUAUUCUACAGCUGCUUCGUCACCUGCCACCUUAGACCAGGAAGAGGUACUUGCAAGGCUGAAGAUGUUGGAGAAUGAGGUUGUAGGGGGAGAACAAGCCAAAAAUACAGAACUGAAGGAGAAAAGGAAACGGCGCAAGACAUAUGCUGAUGAGAGGAAGAAUCAGCUUGCAGAAGCACUGAAACACACAGACAGGGAUGAUCCUACUAUCUUGAUCAAUGUCUAUGAAUCUAUUCAAGAUGAAGUUCGCGCAAAAAGCAAAAAUAUUGAAAACUUGCAGAGAAAGCUAACGGUUGCUGAGAUAGAAAUUUCUGAUCUGCAAUCUGAGUUUGAAUUUGAGCGUAUUGAUUACCUGUCUACCAUAAGGAGGCAGGAGCGAGAAAACAUUCUACUGCAGCAAGUCCUAGAAAGAAUCCAGCCUUUAAUUCGGCGAGAAUGUAACUACAGCAAUAUAGACAAAAUAAAACGGGAUUGUGUUUGGGAUGAAGAAAGUGGUUGCUGGAAACUACCAGAAACAGUUCUUCAAAAGAUUACACUUCCGUCUGCUGGCUCCAGCACCGCAUCAAAUAAGCAAGGGGUGAGAGUCUCUGCCAAUGAUACUGGAGAUUACUUAAUGGAAGAAGAUCGUUACAGACAAAUGCUCAACCGUAGUGAUAGUGAGAAUAUUGCCAACAACUACUUCAGGUCGAAGCGUGCCAGUCAGAUCUUGAAUACGGAUCCUGCUCGAAGUCUCAUGCAUACACAGACGUCAGUGCAUAGCGUAUCUCUUAACAAUGGGUCACCUUCCCAUGCUGUCUCCAAUCUAAAUACAGUGUCUCCAACCCAGCCGCCUGAUAUGCCCACGCCAAGGCCUUUCCGUUUGGAAUCACUGGAACUACGUGCGCCAUCUGCCAAAACCAAACGCAAGAAAAACAAAAACAAUCCUUUCAUGGACAUUGCCUGAUGCAUAAAGGUUACAAUAAAGUAUUGUUUUUAAGGUAUUUGUUAUAUUUUCUCUCCCUUAUGCUUUUAUUACUACAAACAGCAUUCUGGCAUGAGCUUCUACCAAUGCUGAUGUAACACCAACUGCUCAGAAGUGUCCAAGAAAAUUAAUGCUACUGUUCCAAGGCUUAUUUUUGUGAGAUAGUGUCUUACUCGAACCUCCUGACAAAUGCUUGUCUGUAAUAGAGAAGUUCUGUUAUUUCACCAUUGCGACCUGUAUCCUACUGUUCUCUAAUGCAACAAAUGGCUGUUCCAAAGCAGCAUACAACAAUGUUAUUUAUUGCUAUUCUUCAAUAAUUUGAAUAUAUAUAACGUUAAACUACUGAUGACAAUUUUCCAUGUAGUUCAUAUCAUCAAAAGCAUAUUUUAUCAGUUCCGAAUGUCACCAAAUCAUUGUUUAUUAUAAUAAUCUGUUUCAACUCCCAUACUACUCUUUAAUUACUUGAACCCAUUUAUCACAAUCCACUAUAUCGAAGAAAUCCUGAUUUGUUUUUAUUUAUUCUUUCAAACCAGACACUUUUUCAACUUCCAUUUCCCUCUCAAUGAUUAAUAACUGAAUUGAUGCACCUUAUUUUCUCCCUACUUUUCUGAAGACAUUUGUGUAAUUUUAAAUUCUGGAAAGACAGUUGUCUGCAUGUCUGAUCAAGUUACUGUCUCUUAAAUUUCAAGACUUUCUCUUUAGUUUGUCUUUAUAUAAUAUAAAUGAUUACCUUCGUCAUUACCUCUAAGAACUCAAAUUUUAAUACUUAAUUGAGUAAUAAAGCAGCCAAAUUUCAAAAAGGUUCUGAAAUGUGUCUAUUGUUCCAAAUGUUGUCCAACACUUUAAUAUUAUUCCCAUAUCUGGAAAUAUUUUUAACAUAGUCAACAUUGUUUCGCAAUGUACCAUAGAUUCCCACUUGAUAAAACAAUGAUUUAUUUUUACAUCACAUAAAUGCACAAAGCCUUACAAGGAGUUAAAAGAACAAGGUAAUGAGGUAAUUCCACCUCGCUUUUAGCCUCUAGACACAAAUUUAUUGCACUUUCUUUAAUAGGAGUACUAUGACCUAUAGUUUGUCUGAACUUUCUUCAACAAACUCUUCAGCCUCUAUACUCAUGGUUUUGACAUUAAAAUGCACUGCAGUAUUCUAAUCCAACAUCUUUUACCAGGAGCUCCAUUUGUAUUUUCUUUCAUUAUCCAAUCUACUUAAUUUAUGUGUCUCUUACUGAUGUCCUGCCCUGUUUCAGGUUAAAUUGUGAACGUAUCUUAAACCUGUUAAAUCAUUGUAAACAAUUCUACUUUUCACACAUUUCAAACACUGUGGAAGUCCUGCAAAUUAUGUUGUUUUAAUGGAAUCAAAAGUGCUGGUUGAAACUGGCACCUAUAUUAAAAAUAAAGAUAUAGCCUGAACAGCAGGGUAAUGUUCACAAUAUUGAGGCUGGUGAAUACAAAAAUUAUCAAUGUCAAUGCCGUCUGCUGCAUUUCUUCAGUGAACAGGAGCAGAGAGUCUGGUUGCUUAUUUGCUGCCUUUAGUAAUGUCACACAAAUAGUGCUGAUAGCAUAACCCUUUGCAAAUAUCACUCUUGGCUGUAAUUGGUGUCACUGUGUUCUUGUACUUGUUGAAGCAGAUAAACAGAAACAAGCAUUUUACAUUCAAAAUUAACAGUCAGUCACUCUCUGGGUUCCCCUUUGAUUCCAAUAAUUGUUUCUUGGUUCAACUAUAGAUUUUGCAGAUAAACAUUUUGUAUAAUGUAACACUGAACUCUAGGUUCCUAAAUUUGAUCAUCAGUUUAAUCUAAUAAAUCUCAGCUGAGGUGAAUUUGGAGUGACAAAAUUAGUUUUAGUGGCCUUAGGUUGAGCUAAACUGCUAUCAAUUAUUCUUGUGUGGAUGUCGAAUGGGAAUAUGCAUUAGAUUUGGCACUGUGUUGUUCAGUGAAACAGUAUAUUGUCACAUAAGGUGAGGUGCUUAGGGAAGUUGGCAUCCAUGGAUCUGUACACUCGGCCAGAGAAUAAUUUGGAGAGCCUGACUUCAGAUUGUACCGAUGCAGGAAUAACAUCUCAAGCUUGUCCCCCGUCCCCUGCCCUGAAUACAUUGUACAGAAUUUGAUUGAACCGAUUGAUUUGCAAAUAUUAUUCAAGCUUGGUUUGACAGGAAAUCUCACUGCCCAAAAUUCAUACUAAGCCAAAUAGAGCAGAUAGCUGCGUUAGCUAACCUGAAAUAAGUCAGAGAUGUUAGACUUUUAUAAUUGGUCACAGCUCUCCAGGUGAGGGAAUGGCUAAUUAAAUGUAUUAACACCCCAUGAGCAUGUGUGCAAAUGCUUAAUGGGUAUUGGAUCAAUUCUCUCUCUCUGUACUUUGUGCUUGAGCAGAUUUGGUGGUUGCUGAUACAUUUGGGACGGUCCUCAGAACGUCCAUGAGUCCAUGAAAUUAGGUAGGAAGAAAUUGCAGCUAGGAAUUGGAAUAUGAGAAGUAUAUGUGAACAUUCAAGUUGCAGGAAAAUAUUUUUUUUUAAUUAAUUACACUGAAAGUUGAACAAAGCAAUCAAAUUCUAUUAAGGUUUGCUUUUGAAGACAAAAAUAUCAGAAAUAUAACUAACAAUCCUUCAAUUGGGACUGUUUUUCUUAAAUAAUGAGAGAUGAGUAUAAGUUUUGGUGAAUGAAAUUUAAAUGCUGUUAUUUUGAAUGUAAAAUAAGGUUAGGCGGAAAUGAGCAUAAUUGUUCUCAUAAAUUUGUAAAAAAAAUCUUAUACUAUGUAUUCAUGACAGAACUAAUUUAUGUAUUAUGUUAAUCGAACUAAAUUAUUUGUUUUGUUUUUAGUAUCUGUGCUGUUCUGUAAAUAUCCAGAAUAAAGUUUAAAGAGAAACGAGCUGAUUGUUUACUUCAGGAAAGGAAAGCGGAGGGACAGAGCAGCUGUAUUCAUCGAAGGGAUGACGGCAGAGAGAGUCAACAGCUACAAGUUCCUAGUGUAGAUAACACUGGCGAUCUGGGCCCAGCACACUGAAGCAAUUGCAAAGAAUGCUCACCAACACCUGUGCUUGCUCAGAGGUUUAAGGAGAUUUGUUAAGUCCCCAAAUAGUCUAUUGAAUUUCUAAAGAUGUACCAUGGAGAGCAAACUGGCCCAGCUCAGUAAUUUGAAUUCUCAGGAAUGAAGGAGGCUGCUGAAAGCUGCAGACAUUGCCAGUCCAUCAUGGUCUCCCCACCAUCCAAGGGAUCCACAUCAAGCGUUGCCUCAAGAAAGCAGCUAAUAUCAUCGAAGAACCACACCACUCUAGUCACAUUCUCAUCUCGCCGUUGGGAAGAAAAUACAGGAGCCUGAAAAUCAUUACAUCCAGGUUCAAGAACUUCAUCUAUCAACCACCCUGCACCACCCUAACCAGAACUCUUACUACCUCAGCACCAAACUAAUGUAGACUUUGCAUUACCAAAUUUAUACUAUGUACUUUGGCUUGUACCAUCAUGGUCUGGUUUACCUAAAAUAAUAUAAUUUAUUGUAUAUUGUGCUUAACGUGCCCUUAAAAGCUGCAAAGUAAGGAUUUCAUUGUUCCGGUCUCAGAGUAUAUGACACAUAUAGGCUCCUGACUCUCUUGAAGUUUGAAGGCAAAUAACCCACAGGGGGCACUCUUGUGUUAUUGUAGAUGUUCAACACCCAGAACCUGGAGCAUUCCUUAUCAUUUACACUUUUUUCUUAAAUUAAAUAUAUUUAAUCCUUAAACAUGGACACUCUUUCAAUAAAAUGGGAAAAUAGUGAGCAAAUCCUUACAAAGAUCAAUGAAAAGUGAAACUAUGCCCUGCUAUGCAUAAUUUUAUAAUCCCCUGGAACAAUUUACUGGCAUCAGGUUAACCCAAACCCAAGAGAUCUCAGAAUCUCCUUCCUGCAAUAAAGCCACAGAUGAUGCUCCCAGUGAAUCACUUUGUCAGUGCUUAGAUUUCUUCGCUAAAGAACUAAGGAAAAGUAUUGACUGCUGGUCCUCAGAUCUCUGGGCCCUAUGUCUGAUAAAAACCCUCAAAUGGAAUCCCCUUUUGUAAGGUUCGGCUGAGCUGUGUCCUGUCUGACAUUGGUCAUCAUCCCUCAAAAAUGUAUUUGCAUCUUAAAAAUGUUGGCACUAAUCUUGCAAAAAUUCAGAGUAAACUUGUGUUUUCUACAUUUUCUUUACAUCUUGUAUAUGCUUACAGAAAAUCAAAAUAAAUGUUGGACAAUGUAUGCUUCUUAACAGAUCUGCUUUUUAAUCUUACUUUAAGUAAUUUCUCAAGAAGUGUAAUAAGUACAUUUGUAUAUUUGCAUGUAAAUUAUUUGUAUAAAAAUG